rnacentral:lncRNA from 1 species
CUCCCUCUCUCCCUCCCUUCCUACUAAAAACCAAUAAGGCUAGGGAGCCUAUCUGCAUAGUUCUGUGAAUGUCUCGGAACAAAGCAAUACACAGAAGCUAAUGCUCUCAUCCUGUGUAAGAUACAAAUCUUGUCACAUCAUGGACCAUCGUGGAGCAUGAAGCUAUUUCUAAUGUGAUGGGGGAAAUGUUUCUAGCAGAAGAGCAAGACAUGGUCCUGGUGCAUGAAAGGAGCCUAAGAAAGAAGAGUGAAAGCUGCACGUGUGUGAGUAUCUAGCAGAACAUCUAGAAAAUGCACACCAACCUCCAGCAGCAGAAAACAGUCUACCUCCAGAAAGCCAUAAAAGAGAAAAGAAUGUUGUACCAAACUAAGCAAAUGAAGCAUGAAAUGAAAAGCCGGUUGAGCUGGGAGGUAUAAAGAAUGGAAAGGAAGCAGCUACCACCCCUGGUAACCCCAUCAAUCCGGAGAAGCUUCGCAGAGUUACACUGUGCUCUGUCGGAGGAAGUCUAAAAUAACACAUGGGUGUCUCGGCCUUGGCACAGCUAAACCCUGGAACAUUGAACUGAAGUCAUAACAAUGGAGCAUCCUGGCAGGCAUCCACUGUGCCAUAUGCUUUCGGGAAGUCUGGAUGCUGAAUGUGGUGGCUGUGGGGAAUUGAGCCUUAUUGCUUCAUAAGAUUCCUGGUGGUAGAACUAUUCUGAACAAGAACACGUCCGUCCCCAUAGGUGUGCUCCAAGAAUCACAGAAUAAGAAGGGACUUCGGAGAGAGCCUCACACAGUUGGGCAAUGGGAGCCCAGAGAGGCAAGGAAGGCUCCUUGCCCAAAGUCUUGUACAUCUGAAUCUGCAACUCCUGACUAUUUUUGAGUCUUAUGCUCCAGGCUAAAACUUGUGACUUUAAGUGUGAUGUUCUCGGUGAUGAUUAAUCUAGGAUGUUUCUGUUGUUUUCUUACCGUCAAAGAAUUAACAUCAAAAGGAAAGGAAGGAAGAAAUGUAGAAGUGAAGGCAAGAAGGAAGGAAGGAGGAAAGGAAGGAAGGAAAAUAUAGGCUUUGGGUAAAAAUAAGUUUCUACUCAACACUGACAAAGGUACAGGUUUUGGACAUUGGUUUCCUAAUCUGUAAAUGAGGAAUAGUCAUCACAUCGCUGUCCUGGCUGGUUUUGUGUGUCAACUUGACACAAGCUGGAGUUAUCACAGAGAAAGGAAAGAAAAUGCCUCCAUGAGAUCUAGCUGUAAAUGGAUUAGUGAUCAAGAGUGGGAGGGCCCAGUGUGGGUGGUGCCAUCCCUGGACUGGUGGUCCUGGGUUCUACAAGAAAACAAGCUGAGCAAGCCAGGGGAAGCAAGCCAGGGGAACAUCCCUCCACGGCUCUGCAUCAGCUCCUGCUUCCUGCCCUGUGUGAGUUCCAGUCCUGACUUCCUUUGGUGACGAACAGCAAUGUGAUAGUAUAAGCUGAAUAAACCCUUUCCUCCCCAAC